AAUAAACCAGUCAGCCCAAGGCUGCAAGGUAAAAACUUUGGGCUAGUUACAUUAACAAGGCCAGAUACAAAGGCAGCCCAAUAAACACUGCAGUUAGAGUAGAAGGAGAGUGAGAUAGAGGUCACAGGCUGGACCACCAGAACGAACGAAUCUAUGGUCCCUGUCGUGGUGAUAAAAUCCAUCCAUCCAAGGCACCGACACUCUUGCUCCAGAACACGCCCUUUGACCUUUUGAGAUGCACCGACA
rnacentral:lncRNA from 1 species